rnacentral:rRNA from 1 species
GAUGAACGCUGGCGGCGUGCCUAACACAUGCAAGUCGAACGGAGUCCAGCCUUUAAGACCUUCGGGUCAAAGAGGGGAAGACUGAGUGGCGGACGGGUGAGUAACACGUGGGCAACCUGGCUCAUAGAGGGGGAUAACAGAGAGAAAUUUCUGCUAAUACCGCAUAAGCACACACUGCCGCAUGGCAGAGGGUGAAAAGAGAAUCGCUAUGAGAUGGACCCGCGUCUGAUUAGCCAGUUGGCAGGGUAAGAGCCUACCAAAGCGACGAUCAGUAGCCGAUCUGAGAGGAUGAACGGCCACAUUGGGACUGAGACACGGCCCAAACUCCUACGGGAGGCAGCAGUGGGGGAUAUUGCACAAUGGGGGGAACCCUGAUGCAGCGACGCCGCGUGAGUGAAGAAGUAUUUCGGUAUGUAAAGCUCUAUCAGCAGGGAAGAUAAUGACAGUACCUGAAUAAGAAGCCCCGGCUAACUACAUG